GGCCAAAUCAUGAAGAUUGUUUCCUGGUUCAUGAUGGCUUGACUAUCUAUUUGUGCAUGCAUUACAGGAAAGCCUUACAGUCAUCUUGCUGCUGAAACUUCAAAAAAGAACAUCAAGAGUUUUGCAGGGAUAACACCAGUGGCUCUUGCAAGAAAUGGAUCCUGGUCGAUAUGGGCUCCAUCAUGGAUGGGAAAAUAACAGCGUAAUUGUGGUUUCCUUCUUAAUCACAUAAUGGAUGAUAGACAAGAA
rnacentral:lncRNA from 1 species